rnacentral:lncRNA from 1 species
UGGCGGCACCUGAUCCCAACAGAUACGAGUCGGUUCCCCAGCCAGCGCUUGCACCUGGGAAGGAACGUUCUGCGCUCAUGCAGGUGCUGUUCGCUGACACGGGACGCAGUUUGCUCAUAGGUAUCGACUUGGCCGACACCGGGACCUAGGGAUAUGUUGGCACGACGGUUCGCCGGCAGCCCUUCCUUGUUAGGCGCAGCUGCCUGAACAGUACUGUGGCUGGGAAACAAUAUGCCAGAAACACCUAGCUUGCCAAUUUUGCUUUGUGAAAAGCGGCGGACAUUGUCUUGUCUACCAGUUUACAACUUCAAAGUUGCGGGAUUAUUCAAGAUCGGAGGGUCGUGUCCGGUUCAACUUCUUGGUUUCCCAUCUUCUGCACAGAGCAUGGUUCUAAAGCAAUAAAGCAGACUGGCCAUUUCUCGUACGCUACGUGUUGAGACACGCUCUGCAGGACUUCAGUAAAGCUUUUCAUACCAUACCAUACCAUACCAUACCAUACCAUACCAUACGAUACCAUACCAUACCAUACCAUACCGUACCGUACCAUAGCAUACUCUUCUAC